UACGAAGGGAGCUAGCGUUGUUCGGAAUUACUGGGCGUAAAGGGCUCGUAGGUGGCCAACUAAGUCAGACGUGAAAUCCCUCGGCUUAACCGGGGAACUGCGUCUGAUACUGGAUGGCUUGAGUUUGGGAGAGGGACGCGGAAUUCCAGGUGUAGCGGUGAAAUGCGUAGAUAUCUGGAGGAACACCGGUGGCGAAGGCGGCGUCCUGGACCAACACUGACACUGAUGAGCGAAAGCCAGGGGAGCAAACGGG
rnacentral:rRNA from 1 species